ACAAGGUCGGAAGGUUCGCUGUCCGGGGUCACUUCGGUGGCUUCGGGGGAAAGUCCCCAGUCCUGUGGCGGAGAGCGCCAGUCCCAUUUCAUGGGGCGAACGCUGCGUUGAGCCGAGCAAAAUCAGCGGUGACAGUCAUCAGACUGUAGCUGACGGUGAGGUAGCGUACUCGACACGAGCGAAAGUUAUGCGAACAGCCCGUAAAUGGUACGGGUGAACUCAAUGGGGCUUACUCUUCGACCCUG
rnacentral:RNase_MRP_RNA from 1 species